rnacentral:rRNA from 1 species
GGUUAAAAAGCUCGUAGUUGGAUUUCUGCUGUGGGCAGCCGGUCCACACUAUGUGUGAGUAUCUGGUUCGACCACGGCAUCCUCUCGAUAAACGUUGGCGCGCUUCAUUGCGUGGCACGGGCUCGGGACUUUUACUUUGAGGAAAUUAGAGUGUUCACGGCAGGCGUUUGCCUUGAAUAUAUUAGCAUGGAAUAAUGAUAUAGGCGACUGAGUCUAUUUUGUUGGUUUCUAGGCUCAGUUGAAUGAUUAAUAGGGACAGUUGGGGGCAUUCGUAUUAUGACGUCAGAGGUGGAAUUCUUGGAUUGUCAUACGACGAACUACUGCGAAAGCAUUUGCCAAGGAUGUUUUCAUUGAUCAAGAACGAAAGUAAGGGGAUCGAAGACGAUUAGAUACCGUCGUAGUCUUUACCAUAAACUAUGCCGACUAGAGAUUGGAGGUCGUUCUUUGUAUGACUCCUUCAGCACCUUAUGAGAAAUCAAAGUUUUUGGGUUCCGGGGGGAGUAUGGUCGCAAGGCUGGAACUUAAAGGAAUUGACGGAAGGGCACCACCAGG